AUGUUGCUAUCAAACUUGAACUCAAAACAACCAGUUCUGAAGCAUACCACCGAUGCAUCACCACCAUUACACCCCAUCUGUUUCAAUUUAACCACAAAUCGAACACUAGGGCGUCCGAUACGCCUUCAAUUAAAUAGGUCUACUGAAUAAAAGUUUGCAUAUUUUUUCUUGAUAAUUUUGUGGAACUAAACAUAUUGAUAGUUGUUUGGUUACUAUUUUGUCACAGGUUUUGGUUCUUGAUGCCUAACACACAUCAAAUAUGAUUAUUAAGUUAAAAUUGUUGGUUGAUCAUUUUCAAUAAUAUUACGUGUCUAUGUAUGCAUGUAUGUAUAAAAAAUCCCUUGAUCCCUGUCCUUUCUUCUCUCUGCUCCAGUGAUCCGACAAACUUCAUCUAACAAGCUUGCAUUAGGUCUCCGUCUCACUCAACAACAAGCAAAGGAUUCUUCUGGCAAGGUUCUUCCCAUGGACGUGUUACGCCAAUGAAAGUAUAAAACCGGUGACAUGAACUAUUUGGGACCUUUUGCGAAACUAACAUUUCAUUUAUAACAAUGCUAAUAAUAACCUUAGUUAGCAGGCGUCUUCUUCGAACAACCCUCUACCACAUAUGAGUUUUGAUUACCUUUUACAUUAAGAUUUGUCAAUAGUUUUAAAUUGAUGGCUUUCAACCAUGAAAUUCGUUUGGCAAUGUAUAUAUGUGCUAUUCUGUUUGCAUUUCUAACAGUAUGAAACAUGUUUUGUAAUUUUUGUUGCUGCUAUAAGGUCGCUUGCUUCACUUAGGGCUGCUUUUGUUGAUCAUUUCGUUGGCCAUUUGAGGAUGUUGAGAGCAGUUGGAGCAACUUGCUGUAGAAAGAACACCCAGAGUAUAAAUUCACAUUUUUGUUUUAUGGUUUUUCUCGGUUUUAGUUGUUGUUUGCUUACUGCUUAGCAUGGUUUUACAACUCAUGCCCCGCAACGUGGGGUUAAAUACUAGUUUAUAAACAAAAUAAGGACUAAAAGCAAGGAUAAUGUUUGUUUUUUGUUGAUUUAUUUGAAAUGGAUGGAUCCUACCAUUUUGU
rnacentral:lncRNA from 1 species